AUUGAACGCUGGCGGCAGGCUUAACACAUGCAAGUCGAACGAUGAUUUCCCAGCUUGCUGGGAAUGAUUAGUGGCGGACGGGUGAGUAACAUUUAGGAAUCUGCCUAGUAGUGGGGGAUAGCUCGGGGAAACUCGAAUUAAUACCGCAUACGACCUACGGGUGAAAGGGGGCGCAAGCUCUUGCUAUUAGAUGAGCCUAAAUCAGAUUAGCUAGUUGGUGGGGUAAAGGCCCACCAGGGCGACGAUCUGUAACUGGUCUGAGAGGAUGAUCAGUCACACCGGAACUGAGACACGGUCCGGACUCCUACGGGAGGCAGCAGUGGGGAAUAUUGGACAAUGGGGGCAACCCUGAUCCAGCCAUGCCGCGUGUGUGAAGAAGGCCUUUUGGUUGUAAAGCACUUUAAGCAGGGAGGAGAGGCUAAUGGUUAAUACCCAUUAGAUUAGACGUUACCUGCAGAAUAAGCACCGGCUAACUCUGUGCCAGCAGCCGCGGUAAUACAGAGGGUGCGAGCGUUAAUCGGAAUUACUGGGCGUAAAGCGAGUGUAGGUGGCUCAUUAAGUCACAUGUGAAAUCCCCGGGCUUAACCUGGGAACUGCAUGUGAUACUGGUGGUGCUAGAAUAUGUGAGAGGGAAGUAGAAUUCCAGGUGUAGCGGUGAAAUGCGUAGAGAUCUGGAGGAAUACCGAUGGCGAAGGCAGCUUCCUGGCAUAAUAUUGACACUGAGAUUCGAAAGCGUGGGUAGCAAACAGGAUUAGAUACCCUGGUAGUCCACGCCGUAAACGAUGUCUACUAGCCGUUGGGGUCCUUGAGACUUUAGUGGCGCAGUUAACGCGAUAAGUAGACCGCCUGGGGAGUACGGCCGCAAGGUUAAAACUCAAAUGAAUUGACGGGGGCCCGCACAAGCGGUGGAGCAUGUGGUUUAAUUCGAUGCAACGCGAAGAACCUUACCUGGUCUUGACAUAGUGAGAAUCCUGCAGAGAUGCGGGAGUGCCUUCGGGAAUCCACAUACAGGUGCUGCAUGGCUGUCGUCAGCUCGUGUCGUGAGAUGUUGGGUUAAGUCCCGCAACGAGCGCAACCCUUUUCCUUAUUUGCCAGCGGGUUAAGCCGGGAACUUUAAGGAUACUGCCAGUGACAAACUGGAGGAAGGCGGGGACGACGUCAAGUCAUCAUGGCCCUUACGACCAGGGCUACACACGUGCUACAAUGGUAGGUACAGAGGGUUGCUACACAGCGAUGUGAUGCUAAUCUCAAAAAGCCUAUCGUAGUCCGGAUUGGAGUCUGCAACUCGACUCCAUGAAGUCGGAAUCGCUAGUAAUCGCAGAUCAGAAUGCCGCGGUGAAUACGUUCCCGGGCCU
rnacentral:rRNA from 1 species